UGCAUCUGUCAGCCUCACAGGGUAAUUUCAUGGGGGUUUUUUUGUCCAAACAGUAUGUUUUGGAUAACCUAAUGGGGUGGUAUUCAUUUUUUCUAGACGUCGCACUGUGCCACUUUCGUUUCUCCUGAGGAAACAUCACGACACGCUUCGAAAAAACUCUGCCGAGAGUCAGCAGAAGGUGCUUGUGACUAAUAACUCAUCCUUCUUUCUUGACUGAACCUGGAUCCCUUGCCCUCCUCGUUGACGUCUGCGGUGCUCCAUGUCAGGCUGAGAAAUGCAGCUCCUCCGGAGUUGGGAGAUGAAAUCAACAAUUUCCAUGAUGAAAGAGGGAAGAGCAAUGCCUGGAGAACCUCUACUAGUGGUGAGAAGAAGGUCCUGCCAGGUCUAAGAUGCCGCAGCUCUGGCUAGACUGGGGAUUGUGUUUUCAAGGUAAUUUGGCUUAAAAAAAAAAUUGUAUUUUUGUUGGCAAGCCUCUGGCUGGUCUAGGAGAGGACAAACACACUGGUGCUGGACGUGAACCGCAAGCAAAGCUGCUCUGGUCCCUGGGGCUUUGUGCAGAUGGGAGCAGGGAGGUGGAUCAGCCGAUGCAAAUCCGCAAUCGCAGGCUUCUGCAGCACGGUGCCAACCUGGCCAAAAACCAUCUGGCAGCGGGGAG
rnacentral:lncRNA from 1 species